rnacentral:rRNA from 1 species
AGUGAACGCUGGCGGUAGGCCUAAUACAUGCAAGUCGAACGGCAGCACAGUAAGAGCUUGCUUUUACGGGUUGCGAGUGGCGGACGGGUGAGGAAUACAUCGGAAUUUACUUUCACGUGGGGAAUAACGUAGGGAAACUUACGCUAAUACCGCAUACGGCCUCCGAGUGAAAGCAGGGGAACUUCGGACCUUUCGCGAGUGAAUGAGCCGAUGUUGGAUUCACUAGUUGGUGGGGCAAAGGCCCACUAAGUCGACGGUACGUUGCUGGCUUAAGAGGAUAAUCAGCCAAACUGGAACUGGGAAAGGGUCCAGACUCCUACGGGAGGCAGCAGUGGGGAAUAUUGGACAAUGGGCGCAAGCCUAAUGCAGCAAGACCGCGUGGGUGAAGAGGGCCUUCGGGUUGUAAAGCCCUUUUGUUGGGAAAGAAAAGCAGCAGGUUAAUACCCCGCUGUUCUGACGGUACCCAAAGAAUAAGCACCGGCUAACUUCGU